rnacentral:lncRNA from 1 species
UGGUUCCUUGAAAUCUUGCCACCACCACCAUUUAAAAAUGUAAAAGCCAUUUUUAGCUGGUGAGGCCCAUCAAGAACUGGUGGAGGCCAAAAUUGAUCCAAGCUCUGUAGUUGUCUGACCUAUUGGAGCUGUAGAGCUGGGGGUCCUGCAGCUGGUGGGAGACCAGAAAGGGCCCAGACCCUUGGUGUAUCUGUUUCUGCUGGGUCCUGAGCAAGUACAGGGACUGACUGACCAACUCCUGCCCCUUAGGAGCAGAAGGGUUGGUGAAUAACACCCACCUUUUCAGGUAGGUGUUAGUGGAGUGGCGGGUCUCCACAACAGUGAAAUUCCUGUUGCUAUAUGACUUGACUGGGGAGAAUUCCAAGGCCUCUUUUUCACCUCAUUUUGAAAUGUUCUUGCCAUGUUAGCAAACAUUUCUUAGGUACUAGCACCAAGUCACUCUGUGUGGUCAACAGUUGAUACUGUCAACAGUAUCUAGUUUUCUGUCUUACACCAAACCCAGUCAUUUUCUGUUUUCUAGGUUUUUUUUUUAAACUGUCUCUGGCUAGGACUAUAGCUCAGUUGUGGAACACAUGUGUUGUUCUGCUUGUUAUUUUUGAGACAGGGUCAUAGGUUUCUGGCUGGUCUUGAAGUUUUUGUGACCAAGAGUGACCUUGAGGUUUUCUUCCUUCAACUUCCCAGCUAACAGGCACGUAGCACCAUGUCUGGUUUAUGUAGUGUUGGACUUGAACCCAGAGCUUCAUACAUGCUGGGUAAGCACUUUACAGCCAAGCUGCAUCCCUGGCCUUGCAGUACGUGGUUAACCUGCAGCGUAAGCUUUGAGUUUAUUUUUCAGCACCAAAGGAAAAUAAAAGGAAGCAUGUGUGGUGUCACCUAAUAUUAGUUGUAGCCACUCUUAGAGUAAGACAGGAGGAUCCUUUGAACCUAGGAAUUCACUGCCAUCCUAGUUGUACUUCUCUGUCAAAAGACAGCACUUAAGUUCAAGAAACAGCACUUCAAGUUCAUGUCUAUGCUGCUAGCACCCUUGUCAGGAGGUUGAAGCAAAAUCUUGUACC